UACGUAGGGGGCAAGCGUUGUCCGGAAUUAUUGGGCGUAAAGAGCUCGUAGGCGGUCCUUGAAGUCGGGUGUGAAAUCUCAGGGCUCAACCCUGAAACCGCACCCGAUACUGAAGGACUUGAGGCAGGUAGGGGAAGGUGGAAUUCCUGGUGUAGCGGUGAAAUGCGCAGAUAUCAGGAGGAACACCCGUGGCGAAGGCGGCCUUCUGGGCCUGUUCUGACGCUGAGGAGCGAAAGCGUGGGGAGCAAACAGG
rnacentral:rRNA from 1 species